GACGAACGCUGGCGGCGUGCCUAAUACAUGCAAGUAGAACGCUGAAGAGAGGAGCUUGCUCUUCUUGGAUGAGUUGCGGACGGGUGAGUAACGCGUAGGUAACCUGCCUUGUAGCGGGGGAUAACUAUGGGAAACGAUAGCUAAUACCGCAUAACAAUGGCUGACACAUGUCAUUUAUUUGAAAGGGGCAAUUGCUGCACUACAAGAUGGACCUGUGUUUUAUUAGCUAGUAGGUGAGGUAAUGGCUCACCAAGGCGACGAUACAUAGCCGACCUGAGAGGAUGAGCGGCAACACUGGAACGGAGACACGGUCCAGCCCCCUACGGGAGGCAGCAGGGGGGAAUUUGGGACAAGGGGCGAAAGCCUGACGCAGCCACGCCGGGUGGGUAAAGAAGGUCUGCGGGUUUAAAACCCUUUUUAUUGGGAAAGAAGAGCAGGAGGUUAAAACCUCCACGUUGUGACGGUACCUAAAGAAAAAGCACCGGCUAACUACGUG
rnacentral:rRNA from 1 species